UUUUCUUUAUUGCAGAGAUACGAUACUGGAGGGAUGCACUGGAUGCGAAAAAGGAGGCUUUGAUUCGGUUUCUUCAGAAUGGGUCGUUGGGGAUUGUUGGAGGUGAUGGGGUGAUGAAUGAUGAGGUCAAUUCACACUAAUUUGCUAACAUAUAAAAUGUAGCGUUUUGUUAAUCCUACUGAAUAUCUCAAUUAUUUAUUUUUUACUUUAGAACUUUUAUGAAGUUGUGGUCCGUCUAUCACCAUAAUGCUUUCCUUUUGUAGUUGCAACGUACAGAUGUUUUAAUACUAAAAAACACCAUGUGUAGUUGCAACACACUUAAAGUACACAGGUUUUUAUAGUUAGAUUUUCAAGUCCGGAAAUCGAUCACUCUUUGUGUACUCGAGUCGUUAUUCUCUUUUUGUUCUUAUGAAUCAAAAUAUGGUUUUAUUGACAAAAUUGAUUGUGAUACAUCGGGGUUAUUCUUAGGAGGUGGUGGAGUGAACCUUAGUGCUGGUGCAACAAUAUUUGACAGGGAAUACUCAAAAUAGGUUUAUAAUCUUCAAUAGGAGAAGGCACUUAUUGUCAGGGUUUCAUGGAAGGCCGCAGGUCAUUAAUAGGUAACUUGCAUAUCAUUGAUGGAAGCAAGGUCAGCCAUUGACUUGGGUAGAUUUAUAUGUGUGUUUGUUAUAUGUAUAUAUGUAUGUGUGUUUAAACUGUAAUAUAUACGAUAUGAUUUAUUACUUUUGAGGUUGAAAUAAUUUGUAUAGUGAAAAGAUGUAAAUAAAGGUGAGUUCUUGAAGCGAAGCCGCAUGACGCGUUGGUAUUUUUUUCAAGGAAAUGCAAUCUGGUAGAUUCUGAAUCGGAUUUUAGAGACAAGAAAUAUGAUCGCUACCAGGCAUACUUAACCGAGUCUAACAUUGCAAGUCAUGAAUAGGUUACUUGCAUAUCAUUGAUGGAAGCAAGGUCAGCCAUUGACUCGUGAAAAGAUGUAGAAAAAGGUGAGUUCUUGAAGCGAAGCCGCUUGACGCGUUGGUAUUUUUUUUCAAGGAAAUGCAAUCUGUUCUUGAGCUCUUGAAGUGAUCCAUGAACCAAAUGGACCAACACCGUAUUCACAAUUUGAUCAUUCUUCUAUCGCGAUAACUGUAAAGAAAUUCUUCAAUUUAGAAUCCGAUUUCUUGACCAAGCGCGAUGAGUGGGCUGGCACCUUUGAGAGUUACUUCAACCUUCGUAGUACUCCACGUGAGGAUUGUCCAGGUUGAGGAUCCAGCUGAAGUUGAGGUGGUAUAGACACAUGUUAGUGGCAAUUUAGUAGCUAAGGAGGCGAAGCCAGCUCUGCAUGCUACCCAUGCUAUCCAUGACAAAGAAGUUAAAGGACAAAAGUCCAACUUUUCUUGAAUAAGUCAACCUGGAAGUUACUACCUGCACAAGAGAAAUUCAUAGUCAAAUCAGUGCUAUAAGAAUAGAUGCAAUUAUCAACAUGAUGUCUCCUUCACACAUUAUAUCCUUUUAUGAGGUUCUACAGUUCUUUCGUUUUUAGUUAUUUAUUUUCUUGGCCUAUGUGACCUGUACUGGUCGCUUUCUUCCCCUUAAGGCCGUUUAUGGUGGAGUUUGGCCUAACAUUUUAAAGUCGGACAUGUUUGGGUGCAACAACACGGUCAACGUCUAGAAACUAAUCAAAGGUAUAGUUGGUGAUGGCAGCUCUAUUUGGUUCUGGGUUGAUGCUUGGGUGGCGGAUGUAACUCUUCAGUCUCUCUACUCGGCCUUAUUUCAGCUUGAAACUAAUAAACACUUGAAACUAAUAAACACUGUACGGUCAAAGAUCACAUCCCCACCACGUCGGAGACUACGGGGUUGACGUGGGUCUGGUCUUAUGAAAUGGAUUCUGCUGAUGAGCUGAAUGAGCUUUGGGAUUGUUGCAACCGGUUGUUUGGGAUCAACAUCCCUGGUGGGGUUGACAAAUGGAAUUGGUUGGGGGAAUCAUAUGGGGAAUUCUCAGUUAGAAUCUUAAAAUGUCUUCUUCAAAGUGAGGUUGUGGUUUCAACUAAUGAUCACUUUGAAUAGGUCAAGUGGUUGCCCAAAAAAGUCAAUAUCUUUACCAUAUUCACCCCUUUUCUCAAGCCUCCGCGACUUGCAAAAUGAUUCAUUUGGUUAUUAUCCUUGCUUGCUGGGUAAUUUGGAAGAAAAGAAACGAAGUGAUCUCUAAUUGCCUGACUGACCCGGUGAAAAUGUUGAAAGAUGUCAAAGCUUUGGGGUUCUUAUGGGUGUAUAACGGAGCUAACCUUCUAUCCUUUGAUUGAAACAGUUGGUACAACUUUUUAGUUUAUGUAAUCUCUGUAUAUUCUCAUGUUGUAUAGCCUUUGGCUUGCUUUUUUCUUAAUAAAUUUGGCUGAUAAAAAAAUAUUUUGAAGACAUUUAGUGCAGGAUCAAAAUCAUGUGAUAGCUUCAAAGAGGAUUCAUAGACAAUUUACUUUGCU